UCAAGAAAAUAAUUAGAAGUAGAAGAAAAAAGCAUUGUUGGCCAAGGGCCACCUUAUUACAACUUAUAGGGGCACAUCUCAAGCCCGCAAUACUUAAACGGAUUAUUAAAGAAUAAGCUUAACAAAAAUUACUCCAAGAUUGGGAAAGAGAGAGAAUGACAAAGCCUGAAGCUUUUUAACCACACCCUUUGUGACAGAUUCAAACCAAAUUGCUUUACUACCAGUCUCCUCGGCGAGCUGCAACCCAAUCAAAAUGCCCAAAAUUUCCUGCUUGCGUCCAAACAAUCAAGAUGAAACAUCGCCUAAGCUGCUAUCAAGAUCCUAGUUUUAUAUCAAUUCAACUAGGUUCAUUCAAAGCUUUGAGGGAUUCUUUCUAGAGACAGCUAGGGAAAAAGGGAUGAGAGAUACUCUUUGAAAAAGCAGUAAAGGGAAGAGCAAUGAUUAAGAAAAGAAUGGUCCAUAUGAUCAUUCACUUUUGGGGCAGCAUACAACAAACACAAUCAUCAUUCUGUUUCAAAAGGCGACCAACUUAUCAUGGGAAUCCCACUUAAUUAAUACAUUACAAUAAAUAUUAAACCACAAAGAUUCCUAGGGGAAUCAAUGGGCCUUGAGAAACCCUUAUAAAUUAUCAUCAUAAUUCACAAUAAGACCUAAUACUUUUCUUCUCUUCUCUACUGCUUCCCACAUUUGUCAUCAUCAUGAUUUGCUUUCUUCUUCCCAAGAACUUCUUUUUUCAUGGAGAGUUUGUGUAAUGAUUGAGUUAGGAUCUGGUAAUCUGCAUCCUGAGGUUUAGGGAGUUCAAAAUAUGAUGGGUUGGGUGUGAGGGUGCAAGCCAAUAACAAAAAAGUACGAACAAACAAGUUCAAAAGCUCAGUUUGAGCUAUUUUGUUAUGGUCAUAUUGACUUGUGUUUCUCUAGUCCUUGGGAUGCAGAUUAUCUCUUCCUGAUUGACAAUAUUAGAGUUUGGUUCAUUACAAGUGUUAGCUUUAUAUAAUUUCAAUCAAACUAUAUAUUUUGUUGAUUUUGAAUUUAAUGUAUUUUACUAACAGUUUUGGUGUUUCAAAGUGCCUAAUAGUGCUUGAAUUGGAGUCAAAACAUGAAAAUUAUGAGUAAGGUGACAACGUGGCAUAGUAAUUUAGUUACGUAGUGCAACAUGUGGCAUAAUGAUGUUACGUGACAAAGGAUAUGCUAGUACUCUUGUUCAUCGAUUCAUUCAAUUGACGAAUAAAAUGUCAACAUGUAUAGCCUUUGGAAUUAGAAAAAGAGGGGAACACAAUAUUUCAAAAAUAAUUCCAUCCGUGUCACUCAUGUACACAUGUCCUUCAUGCAUCUGGUAGAUCAUUUUUAACUUUCA